GAUGAACGCUGGCGGCGUGCCUAAUACAUGCAAGUCGAACGCUGAAGGAAGGAGCUUGCUCUUUCCGGAUGAGUUGCGAACGGGUGAGUAACGCGUAGGUAACCUGCCUGGUAGCGGGGGAUAACUAUUGGAAACGAUAGCUAAUACCGCAUAACAGUAGAUGUUGCAUGAUAUCUACUUAAAAGGUGCAAUUGCACCACUACCAGAUGGACCUGCGUUGUAUUAGCUAGUUGGUGAGGUAACGGCUCACCAAGGCGACGAUACAUAGCCGACCUGAGAGGGUGGUCGGCCACACUGGGACUGAGACACGGCCCAGACUCCUACGGGAGGCAGCAGUAGGGAAACUUCGGCAAUGGGCGGAAGUCUGGCCGAGCAACGCCGCGUGAGGGAAGAAGGGUUUCGGGUCGUAAAGCUCGGUUGUAAGAGAAGAACGAGUGUGAGAGUGGAAAGUUCACACUGUGACGGUAUCUUACCAGAAAGGGACGGCUAACUACGUG
rnacentral:rRNA from 1 species